AGCAUCUGAUCAUCAUACUGCUGAUCUAGCUGAUCCCUAUAAUAUAUGACUGUGUGCGGCAUCAGAUUAUUAGUACCAAUCAGUCGAGUCCUCCAUCUGUCCAAAAUAAAGUUACUAUAUUAUUAUGUAAAAAUAUGCAGUUAUUUAUCAUAUAAAAUCAAUACUAUUGGUUACAUACCUGCAUCCUAAUGGAUCAGUCUGAUCGUGCUGUAUGCCACCAAAUGGACCCUCAAAACCAGCAUCAUCCAC
rnacentral:lncRNA from 1 species